rnacentral:rRNA from 1 species
AUGAGAACCAUGGAAAGCCAUCGCAUGCGAGUAGGUGCUCUUGCAUGGAACUCUUCAUUGCUUUCUUCUGGCAGUCGUGACAAGAACAUCCUUCAUCAUGAUCUACACGGCCUUCUUGCAUCUGGUGGUGGAACUGCAGAUAGGUGCAUAAGAUUUUGGAAUACGACCACAAAUACACACUUGAGUUCCAUGGAUACAGGGAGUCAGGUCUGUAAUCUUGUGUGGUCAAAGAAUGUGAAUGAGCUUGUUAGCACACACGGAUACUCCCAGAAUCAGAUAAUAGUGUGGCGGUAUCCAACGAUGUCAAAGCUUGCCACGUUGACAGGACAUACAUUCAGAGUAUUAUAUUUAGCCAUCUCCCCUGAUGGACAGACAAUUUUUACUGGUGCUGGUGACGAGACGCUCCGGUUUUGGAACGUGUUUCCGUCUCCCAAGUCCCAGGUACUUGCUUGA